AACGUAGGGGGCUAGCGUUGCCCGGAUUCACUGGGCGUAAAGCGGGUGUAGGCGGUUCUUUAAGUCGGAUGUGAAAUCCAGCGGCCCAACCGCUGAAUUGCAUCCGAUACUGGGGAACUUGAGGACGGUAGAGGUCGGUGGAAUAUCCGGUGUACCGGUGAAAUGGACAGAUAUCGGAUGGAACACCAGUGGCGAAGGCGGCCGACUGGGCCGAUCCUGACGCUGAGACCCGAAAGCUAGGGUAGCGAACCGG
rnacentral:rRNA from 1 species